rnacentral:rRNA from 1 species
UCGAGAAUUUUUCUCAAUGGGCGAAAGCCUGAAGGAGCGACGCCGCGUGGGGGAUGAAGGGUUUCGAUCCGUAAACCCCUGUCAUUUGCGAACAAACCCUGAGGUUUAAGAGAUAUCAGGCUGAUUGUAGCGAAAGAGGAAGGGACGGCUAACUCCGUGCCAGCAGCCGCGGUAAUACAGAGGUCCCAAGCGUUGUUCGGAUUCACUGGGCGUAAAGGGUGCGUAGGUGGCUGGGUAAGUUUGAUGUGAAAUCUCCGGGCUUAACCCGGAAAUGGCAUUGAAUACUAUUCGGCUAGAGGUUUGGAGGGGGGACUGGAAUUCUCGGUGUAGCAGUGAAAUGCGUAGAUAUCGAGAGGAACACCAGUGGCGAAGGCGAGUCCCUGGACAACACCUGACACUGAGGCACGAAAGCUAGGGGAGCAAAC